UAAGGGAGGCAGCAGUGGGGAAUAUUGCACAAUGGGCGCAAGCCUGAUGCACCAUGCCGCGUGAAUGAAAAAGACUUCAGGUUGUAAAGAACUU
rnacentral:rRNA from 1 species